CUCUCACUCGGGCAUCAAGAAGCCCUUCUUUGAAGUUGCCCUCCAGACGAUAGAAAGGCCCUAUUUUCCUCUGCCACUCUCAAUCCUCGUAGGUGUGAAAAUUUUGAGGCUGGUGGUAAAGCUGUUUGCUUUCAAGGCUAGGCUUAGGGUUUCUUCUUCUCAAAGGGUUAACCAAUGGUAUGUUGGAGAUGAGGAUGCAUUUUUCGGUAACAUUCAAAAGUUAGCUUAAGAAUAUUUAGAUGAAAUUCUUUAACAUAGACUUAAACUUUUCCAGAAUUAUUUAGUUUUAAAAAAAAAAUAAAUUAAUCCUUAAUUUUUAAUACAUAGAUGUUAGUUAGUUUUUUCUUCCAUUGUUAAUAGCAAAUUAGAAAUUAUUCUGGAUAAGCCCUUUAAUUUAUUUGAACAGAGGUUAAUUUAUUCUGGAUAAAUUAUUCUUCAAAAUACUAAUACCUCUGUUAUGUUGGAUUAAACGGCUAAUUUGACUCAAAAUUCUUUCCCAAAUUCCGAUAAAACAUUAUCUCUGCAAUGUGGGUGGCCAUGGGUGACCUAACUUAUUGGUCUAACAAACUUGUUGGCUAACAUGGAGGAGUGGCUGGCCUAACCUUUUGGUCUACCAAACUUGUUGCCUAACUGACUAUUUGGCCUACCGAACUUAAAAGGUACCGGCUAGGCAUUUGGCUAACAUGAAUAUUUUUAGAAAAGAGGGCUAGCUUUGCCUUGAGGAGUCGUGUAAAUUCUUGCAAAAUCUUAUUGCCUUUGAUGAGUGUCCUAUGAAGCCCUGUCAAGAAUUCCUUUCUCUUUGAAACAUUUUGACAGGCUUUGUAUUUGAAUUAUACUCAUGGUUCCCAAUAUCUGUCCAGAUGAGUAACAAUCCAGUCCUGACUUAGAUGUGAGUCACUGACUUGCGUGUUGGACACAAUCUUUUGGGCCGAUACUUCAAACCAUGAUUACAUUCCAAAUACAGCCUACCAAAUAGGUUCAAAGAGAAAAAGAAUACUGAAUAAGCUUGUACAGGAAACUCCGCAUAAAUACGAUUUCACAAGAAUUUAUAAGACUCAACAAACGCAAACUACUACUUAAAUAUCCCUGUUAGCCAAAAAUUCAGCAUGAAUACAGAUGCUAAGAUUUACAAAGAAGCUGGGAGGCUUCUAAGCAUAUGCUCUUAUCAGGGUACCACUGUCUAAAAGGUUCAUGAGAUAAGUCUGCUGCUCCAUAUCUUAAGCAGUUCAGCUAGCAUGAAGAUCUUGUCAUAUGCUUGAGGCAUUGAGUAGUGGACUAUCGCAUGAAGUCUUUAGGCAGUAAUGAGCCAUUAAAUUUGUGGAUUCAUGUGCAGAGAACAAGGCCAGUGCUUAUAUUUCCAGAGAAGAACAUCUUUCAUGGAGACACUGAGAGAUGGCUGGCAUAUCAGCCAUCUACCCUGGUGAUGCUUAUGCUAAAAAGGACCAGAUGGUGAGUCCCCAUCCUAGAGAUGAAGAUUACUGGAAGAGCUAGGACAUUUUGAGACAAGGCACAUAGGCAGCAUUCCAGGAAAUCAGGGUCCUAUUGAUACCCGAAGUCACGUAGAAAACAUUAAACAUUGUUGUGAUUCCAAGUUAACUUUCACUGAAAUGAUAACAUACAUUUUCGAAUAAGAAAUGCUGAAUCUUAUGACAA